GCCCCGUUAGCUCAACUGGAUAGAGUACUGGUCUUCGGAACCAGUGGUACGAGUUCGACUCUUGUACGGGGCA
rnacentral:tRNA from 1 species